UACGGAAGGCAGCAGUGGGGAAUAUUGCACAAUGGGCGAAAGCCUGAUGCAGCUAUGCCGCGUGUAUGAAGAAGGCCUUAGGGUUGUAAAGUACUUUCAUCGGGGAAGGAAAAACAAAACUAAUAAUUUUAUUUCUUGACGUUACCCGAAAAAGAAGCACCGGCUAACUCCGUGCCAGCAGCCGCGGUAAUACGGAGGGUGCUAGCGUUAAUCAGAAUUACUGGGCGUAAAGAGCACGUAGGUGGUUUUUUUAAGUUCAGAUGUGAAAUCCCCUGGGCUUAACCUAGGAACUGCAUUUUGAAACUGAAAUACUAGAGUAUCGUAGAGGGAGGUAGAAUUCUAGGUGUAGCGGUGAAAUGCGUAGAUAUCUGGAGGAAUACCUGUGGCGAAAGCGGCCUCCUAAACGAAUACUGACACUGAGGUGCGAAAGCUGGGGAGCAAACAGGGAUUAGAUACC
rnacentral:rRNA from 1 species